GUGCCAGCAGCCGCGGUAAAACGUAGGUGGCGAGCGUUAUCCGGAUUCACUGGGCGUAAAGCGCCUGCAGGCGGUCCCGUAAGUGGGAUGUGAAAUCUCCUGGCUUAACUAGGAGGGGCCAUUCCAUACUGCGAGACUUGAGGGCAGAAGAGGGAAGCGGAAUUCCCGGUGUAGUGGUGAAAUGCGUAGAUAUCGGGAGGAACACCAGUGGCGAAGGCGGCUUCCUGGCCUGCUCCUGACGCUAAGAGGCGAAAGCUAGGGGAGCGAACGGGAUUAGAUACCCUUGUAGUCC
rnacentral:rRNA from 1 species